rnacentral:rRNA from 1 species
CCUACGGGCGGCAGCAGUCGAGAAUCAUUCACAAUGGGGGAAACCCUGAUGGUGCGACGCCGCGUGGGGGAAUGAAGGUCUUCGGAUUGUAAACCCCUGUCAUGUGGGAGCAAAUUAAAAAGAUAGUACCACAAGAGGAAGAGACGGCUAACUCUGUGCCAGCAGCCGCGGUAAUACAGAGGUCUCAAGCGUUGUUCGGAAUCACUGGGCGUAAAGCGUGCGUAGGCUGUUUCGUAAGUCGUGUGUGAAAGGCGCGGACUCAACCCGCGGACGGCACAUGAUACUGCGAGACUAGAGUAAUGGAGGGGGAACCGGAAUUCGCGGUGUAGCAGUGAAAUGCGUAGAUAUCGAGAGGAACACUCGUGGCGAAGGCGGGUUCCUGGACAUUAACUGACGCUGAGGCACGAAGGCCAGGGGAGCGAAAGGGAUUAGAUACCCGGGUAGUC